rfam:Triticum aestivum genome assembly, contig: Triticum_aestivum_CS42_TGACv1_scaffold_642164_T_5BL-0.284166_1BL-0.184674
UUAGUACUCCCUCCGUCCGGAAAUACUUGUCGAAGGAAUAGUUGUAUCUAGACAUAUCUUAGUUUUAGAUACAUCCAUUUUUAUGCAUUUCUUGGACAAGUAUUUUGGGACGGAGGGAGUAUGAU